CACCUCUUCCCAUCCCGAACAGAGAAGUUAAGCCCGCUAACGCCGAUGGUACUGCUACACCAAGUGGGAGAGUAGGUAGCCGCCGUUC
rnacentral:rRNA from 1 species